UACGUAGGGGCUAGCGUUGUCCGGAUUUAUUGGGCGUAAAGAGCGUGUAGGCGGCCAGGUAGGUCUGGUGUGAAAACUCGAGGCUUAACCUUGAGAUGUCAUCGGAAACCAUUUGGCUAGAGUCCGGAAGAGGAAAGUGGAAUUCCUGGUGUAGCGGUGAAAUGCGCAGAUAUCAGGAAGAACACCAAUGGCGAAAGCAGACUUUC
rnacentral:rRNA from 1 species